rnacentral:tRNA from 1 species
GGGCGGUUAGCUCAGUUGGUAGAGCGCCUGCUUUACACGCAGGAUGCCGGGGGUUCAAGUCCCUCACCGCCCA